AUUGAACGCUGGCGGCAGGCCUAACACAUGCAAGUCGAACGAGUGGCGGACGGGUGAGUACUGUCUGGGAAACUGCCUGAUGGAGGGGGAUAACUACUGGAAACGGUAGCUAAUACCGCAUACCAUCGGAUGUGCCCAGAUGGGAUUAGCUAGUAGGUGGGGUAAAGGCUCACCUAGGCGACGAUCCCUAGCUGGUCUGAGAGGAUGACCAGCAAGACUGUAACUGAGACACGGUGCAGACUCGUACGUGCGGCAGUGGUGGGGAAUAUUGCACGAGGGGUGGAAGCGUGAUGCAGCCAUGCCGCGUGUAUGAAAGAGGCAGUCGGGUUUGAAAGUACUUUCAGCGGGGCGGCGUUGCCCGCAGAAGGAGCACCGGCUAACUCCGUGCCAGGAGCCGCGGUAAUUC
rnacentral:rRNA from 1 species